rnacentral:rRNA from 1 species
UGGGGAAUAUUGCACAAUGGGCGAAAGCCUGAUGCAGCGACGCCGCGUGCGGGAUGAAGGCCUUCGGGUUGUAAACCGCCUUUAAUUGGGAGCAAGCGAGAGUGAGUGUACCUUUUGAAUAAGCACCGGCUAACUACGUGCCAGCAGCCGCGGUAAUACGUAGGGUGCAAGCGUUAUCCGGAAUUAUUGGGCGUAAAGAGCUCGUAGGCGGUUUGUCACGCCUGGUGUGAAAGUCCAUCGCUUAACGGUGGAUCUGCGCCGGGUACGGGCAGGCUAGAGUGCAGUAGGGGAGAUUGGAAUUCCCGGUGUAACGGUGGAAUGUGUAGAUAUCGGGAAGAACACCAAUGGCGAAGGCAGAUCUCUGGGCUGUUACUGACGCUGAGGAGCGAAAGCAUGGGGAGCGAACAGGAUUAGAUACCCUGGUAGUCCAUGCCGUAAAACGGUGGAUGCUGGAUGUGGGACCCUUCCACGGGUUCCGUGUCGGAGCUAACGCGUUAAGCAUCCCGCCU